GACGAACGCUGGCGGCGUGCCUAAUACAUGCAAGUCGAACGCACAGUUUAUACCGUAGCUUGCUACACCAUAGACUGUGAGUUGCGAACGGGUGAGUAACGCGUAGGUAACCUGCCUGGUAGCGGGGGAUAACUAUUGGAAACGAUAGCUAAUACCGCAUAAUAUUGAUUAUUGCAUGAUAAUUGAUUGAAAGAUGCUAUUGCAUCACUACCAGAUGGACCUGCGUUGUAUUAGCUAGUAGGGGAGGUAACGGCUCACCUAGGCGACGAUACAUAGCCGACCUGAGAGGGUGAUCGGCCACACUGGGACUGAGACACGGCCCAGACUCCUACGGGAGGCAGCAGGAGGGAAUCUUCGGCAAUGGACGAAAGUCUGACCGAGCAACGCCGCGUGAGUGAAGAAGGUUUUCGGGUCGUAAAGCUCUGUUGUAAGAGAAGAACGGGUGUGAGAGUGGAAAGUUCACACUGUGACGGUAUCUUACCAGAAAGAGACGGCUAACUACGUG
rnacentral:rRNA from 1 species